UUUUAUGGAGAGUUUGAUCCUGGCUCAGGAUGAACGCUGGCGGCGUGCCUAAUACAUGCAAGUCGAGCGAACGGACGAGAAGCUUGCUUCUCUGAUGUUAGCGGCGGACGGGUGAGUAACACGUGGAUAACCUACCUAUAAGACUGGGAUAACUUCGGGAAACCGGAGCUAAUACCGGAUAAUAUUUUGAACCGCAUGGUUCAAAAGUGAAAGACGGUCUUGCUGUCACUUAUAGAUGGAUCCGCGCUGCAUUAGCUAGUUGGUAAGGUAACGGCUUACCAAGGCAACGAUGCAUAGCCGACCUGAGAGGGUGAUCGGCCACACUGGAACUGAGACACGGUCCAGACUCCUACGGGAGGCAGCAGUAGGGAAUCUUCCGCAAUGGGCGAAAGCCUGACGGAGCAACGCCGCGUGAGUGAUGAAGGUCUUCGGAUCGUAAAACUCUGUUAUUAGGGAAGAACAUAUGUGUAAGUAACUGUGCACAUCUUGACGGU
rnacentral:rRNA from 2 species